GCCUGGGUGGCUCAGUUGGUUGAGCGUCCGACUUCGGCUCAGGUCAUGAUCUCGCGGUCCGUGAGUUCGAGCCCCACAUCGGGCU
rnacentral:tRNA from 1 species